rnacentral:tRNA from 1 species
GGAGGUGGCUGAGUGGUAGAGCACUUGUCUAGUAUGCUAGAGAACCUGGGUGCAAUCCCCAGUAUUGCCA